rnacentral:rRNA from 1 species
AGAGCGAACGCUGGCGGCAGGCCUAAUACAUGCAAGUCGAACGAACCCUUCGGGGUUAGUGGCGGACGGGUGAGUAACACGUGGGAACGUACCUUUUGGUUCGGAACAACGCAGGGAAACUUGCGCUAAUACCGAAUGUGCCCUUACGGGGAAAGAUUUAUCGCCAAAGGAUUAGCCCGCGUAGGAUUAGCUAGUUGGUGAGGUAAUGGCUCACCAAGGCUCCGAUCCUUAGCUGUUCUGAGAGGAAGAUCAGCCACACUGGGACUGAGACACGGCCCAGACUCCUACGGGAGGCAGCAGUUGGGAAUCUUGGACAAUGGGGGAAACCCUGAUCCAGCCAUGCCGCGUGAGUGAUGAAGGCCUUCGGGUUGUAAAACUCUUUCGACGGGGACGAUAAUGACGGUACCCGUAGAAGAAGCUCCGGCUAACUUCGUGCCAGCAGCCGC